GCCACCUUAGCUCAGUGGUAGAGCAUCCCCCCUCGUUCGUGGGAAGGUCGGUAGUUCGAUUCUAUCGGGUGGCU
rnacentral:tRNA from 2 species